CUCGCUAUAACUCAGUUGGUAGAGUGUAAGACUGUAAUGGAAAUCGCAGGCCAACCGGAAGGUGGUUAAUCUUGAGGUCCAGAGUUCGACUCUCUGUGGCGAGA
rfam:Tilletiaria anomala TBC 951 K437scaffold_37, whole genome shotgun sequence.